GGGAACAUUGCGCAAUGGACGAAAGUCUGACGCAGCGACGCCGCGUGUGGGAGGAAGCCCUUCGGGGUGUAAACCACUGUCAGGGGGGAAGAACUCCGGUCUGGCAAACAGUCAGGUCGGCUGACGGUACCCCCAGAGGAAGCGCCGGCUACCUCCGUCCCAGCAGCCGCGGUAAGACGGAGGGCGCAAGCGUUGUUCGGAAUUACUGGGCGUAAAGCGCGGGCAGGCGGUCUGUUAAGUCUGCUGUGAAACUCCGGGGCUCAACUCCGGACAUGCAGUAGAUACUGGCGGACUGGAGACCGGUAGAGGCAAGCGGAAUUCCUGGUGUAGCGGUGGAAUGCGUAGAUAUCAGGAAGAACACCUGUGGCGAAGGCGGCUUGCUGGGCCGGUUCUGACGCUCAUCCGCGAAAGCGUGGGGAGCAAA
rnacentral:rRNA from 1 species